rnacentral:rRNA from 1 species
GACGAACGCUGGCGGCGUGCUUAACACAUGCAAGUCGAACGGAAAGGCCCUGCUUUUGUGGGGUGCUCGAGUGGCGAACGGGUGAGUAACACGUGAGUAACCUGCCCUUGACUUUGGGAUAACUUCAGGAAACUGGGGCUAAUACCGGAUAGGAGCUCCUGCUGCAUGGUGGGGGUUGGAAAGUUUCGGCGGUUGGGGAUGGACUCGCGGCUUAUCAGCUUGUUGGUGGGGUAGUGGCUUACCAAGGCUUUGACGGGUAGCCGGCCUGAGAGGGUGACCGGCCACAUUGGGACUGAGAUACGGCCCAGACUCCUACGGGAGGCAGCAGUGGGGAAUAUUGCACAAUGGGCGGAAGCCUGAUGCAGCAACGCCGCGUGCGGGAUGACGGCCUUCGGGUUGUAAACCGCUAUCGCCUGUGACGAAGCGUGAGUGACGGUAAUGGGUAAAGAAGCACCGGCUAACUACGUG